rnacentral:rRNA from 1 species
GAUGAACGCUGGCGGCGUGCCUAAUACAUGCAAGUCGAGCGAAAAGGGGACGGGUGAGUAACACGUGGAUAACCUCCUAUAAGACUGGGAUAACUUCGGGAAACCGGAGCUAAACCGGUUACUUAUAGAUGGAUCCGCGCUGCAUUAGCUAGUUGGUAAGGUAACGGCGUACCAAGGCAAAGAUGCAUAGCCGACCUGAGAGGGUGAUCGGUCACACUGGAACUGAGACACGGUCCAGACUCCGACGGGAGGCAGCAGUAGGGAAGCUUCCGAAAUGGGGGAAAGCCUGACGGAGCAGCGCCGCGUGAGUGAGGAAGGUCUUCGGAUCGUAAAACUCUGUUAUGUGGGAAGCGGUACCUAAUCAGAAAGCCACGGCUAACGUCGUGCCAGCAGCCGCGGUAAUUC